GUUUCCGUCGUGUAGUGGUCAUCACGUUUGCUUUACAUGCAAAAGGUCCUUGGUUUGAAACCAGGUGGAAACA